GGCGGGGCGGAUGGCACGUUUAAUGCAUCAGCUCCCAGUGGAUCACUGAUGUUAAGCAACGUGGCACGUUGUUGGUAUCUGAUUGGGUGACCAUCUUGGGAAUCGCGAGCAAUCUAUAU
rnacentral:rRNA from 1 species